AAUUUUGAUUUUUGUGAUUUAUAUGCUCUUUUUAUGUUUGAUUUAUGCUUGAUUUUCGAUUUAUGUUCCAUUUUAAUUGAUUUAUGCAAUUUCUGAGUCGAUUUUUGAAAUCGAAUUUAUGUGAUUUCUGUGCAAUUUCAUGAGCGCAUUUCAGAGCGAUUUUUUUUAGCAAUUUUUUGAUCGAAUUUAUGCGAUUUCUAGGCGAUUUUUUUGGUCUAUUUUUGCUCCAUUUUUUAUUGUUUUGUUGCUUUCGAUUUUAAUUUCAUCUUAUUUCUAUUCAAUUUUUUUUGUAUGAUUAUUCAGUUCGUCUUUUUGUUUGAUUAUCCACUUCCAAUUCUUUGAUAUUUCGGCAUUAUCGUUCUUUGAAUUUUGGUUUGAUCGACAAUGUCGAGAUAGUCUCCAAUUUUAUUGAGCAUUUGUUUGUCAUUUGAUUCGACAAACAACGGAGUAAGAGAAGAGACGAGUUGACGUUUUGAGAAAUUUGACAAUGUCGUCAUUGUCGGCAAUCAGCGAGGAACUCGGAGAGAUUGAUGGACAAAUCAAUGACAUUUUCGUGCAUUAUCGUCUGUCAUUGAAGUCCGUAAUGGCAUGACCUUUCUUGACCUUAUAGUCAAUUGAGAACCUUAACAGCAAGUAUAGAUCCAAAGUGCCUUUGGUUCUGAUGAACUCAUUCAACACACAUGAUGAUACACUAAAGGAAUGCUCGCUGAACCAAGUAAAUUAAAUGAUGCUUCAUUGUGAUCAAGGCCUGCAACAUGUACAUUGGAACGCUAUAUUUGAGAUGCAGCAUAUGGGAAUUGUAGAUAACAAUUUAAGAUAAAGCGAAUUGCAGCUUGAAGAUUCUUUUAUGUGCUGAAAGUUAAACCUGUAUGUUUGGUUUGAAUUGCGCAACCAAGUUGGCUGCAACUUUGGAGGGUUGCAGCUUCUAUAUACUCGACGUGCAAUUUUCUAUCUUCAAGGGAAAACGUCAGCUGCUGAUCAUUCCUCACAACUUCUCUAAAUCCUUUGUUUUCAAUUAUAGUACUCUUUUAUUUUUUUUUUCCCUCCCUUUUUCUCUCAUACUUCGAGGAGAUCCUCUAAUAUCCAUGUGCAUUUACCAAUCUGUGCUAAUGGAGGCAAGUGGACAAACAACCUCAGACCUACAUGAACUUAUGUGGUUAUUUGUGAGUCGGCUUCCUAUAACUCCAUUGCGUUAUUAUUGAGAUUUUUGAAUGAAUGUGGAUGAUACUCUGCUUAUUACAAGAAUAUCAUAUGCUUGUUG